AUGUCCACGGAGAGGGAGAGACUCGACGAGAUCGGUAAGAAGAUCAAGCGAGAGCCGGACCCCGCCGCCGCCAUCGCGGGCGUAGUAGUCGCCGUCUCACCGACCGAGCACCACGGCCCUCGCCGCCUAGGCCUCGUUGGCCCAGGCAUCGGCGGCGCCGCGAACAUAGCGACCCCGUGCGCCGCGUGCAAGCUCCUCCGCCGGCGCUGCGCGCACGAGUGCCCCUUCGCCCCCUACUUCUCCCCGCACGAGCCCCACAAGUUCGCCGCCGUCCACAAGGUCUUCGGCGCCAGCAACGUCUCCAAGAUGCUCCUGGAGGUGCCCGAAGCGGAGAGAGCCGACGCGGCGAGCAGCCUGGUGUACGAGGCGAACCUGCGGCUGCGCGACCCGGUGUACGGCUGCAUGGGCGCGAUCUCCAUGCUGCAGCAGCAGGUGAACGCGCUGGAGGCCGAGCUGCAGGCCGUCAGAGCCGAGAUCUUCAAGCACAGGUACCGGCAGGCCGGCGUCGGCGUCGGCGUGGCAAACCUCAUUGUCGACGACGACGUUAGUGCCGCUGCAGCCGGCGGCUUCAUGGCUCCUGCCACGUCGCUGGUGCACACCGCUGACGUGGUGUCCGUGGCGGAGGCCGGCCAAGAAGUGGCCGUAAUGCCGUCGACGGCCACGGCCACGGCGUACGCUGCCGGACAGCCGUCGAGCACUGACUACAGCUCCCUCGACACAAGUGAGCAUGAUGCAUACUUUGGUUGA
rnacentral:rRNA from 1 species